UACGUAGGGCGCAAGCGUUGUCCGGAAUUAUUGGGCGUAAAGAGCUCGUAGGCGGCUUGUCACGUCGGGUGUGAAAGCCCGGGGCUUAACCCCGGGUCUGCAUUCGAUACGGGCUAGCUAGAGUGUGGUAGGGGAGAUCGGAAUUCCUGGUGUAGCGGUGAAAUGCGCAGAUAUCAGGAUGAACACCGGUGGCGAAGGCGGAUCUCUGGGCCAUUACUGACGCUGAGGAGCGAAAGCGUGGGGAGCGAACAGG
rnacentral:rRNA from 1 species